UGGCGGACGGGUGAGUAACGCGUGGGUAACCGUACCCUGUGCAGGGGGAUAGCAGCUGGAAACGGCUGAUAAAACCGCAUAACACGGCGAUGCCGCAUGGCAAUGCCGUCAAAUAUUUAUAGGCACAGGAUGGGCCCGCGUCUGAUUAGCUAGUUGGCGGGGCAACGGCCCACCAAGGCGACGAUCAGUAGCCGGCCUGAGAGGGGUGAACGGCCACAUUGGGACUGAGACACGGCCCAAACUCCUACGGGAGGCAGCAGUGGGGAAUAUUGGACAAUGGGGGAAACCCUGAUCCAGCGAACCGCCGCGUGAGUGAAGAAGUAUUUCGGUAUGUAAAGCUCUAUCAGCAGGGAAGAUGAUGACGGUACCUGACUAAGAAGCACCGGCUAAAUACGUGCCAGCCGCCGC
rnacentral:rRNA from 1 species